CCCUAGAAUAGGAUCACAACCAGUUGGAACGACUGCUAAUACCGAAUGUGCCUUAGGGUGAAAGAUUUAUUGUCUAGAGAUUGGCUCGCGUCAGAUUAGCUAGUUGGAGUGGUAACGGCACACCAAGGCGACGAUCUGUACUUGGUCUGAGAGGAUGACCAGGCACACUGGAACUGAGACACGGUCCAGACUCCUACGGGAGGCAGCAGUGGGGAAUUUUCCGCAAUGGGCGAAAGCCUGACGGAGCAAUACCGCGUGAGGGAGGACGGCUUUUGGGUUGUAAACCUCUUUUAUCAGGGAAGAAUCGAUGACGGUACCUGAUGAAUCAGCAUCGGCUAACUCCGUGCCAGCAGCCGCGGUAAUACGGAGGAUGCAAGCGUUAUCCGGAAUUAUUGGGCGUAAAGCGUCCGUAGGUGGUUUAUCAAGUCUGCUGUCAAAGCGUGCGGCUUAACCGCAUAAGGGCAGUGGAAACUGAUGAACUAGAGUGCGAUAGGGGUAACAGGAAUUCCCAGUGUAGCGGUGAAAUGCGUAGAUAUUGGGAAGAACACCAGCGGCGAAAGCGUGUUACUGGGUCUGCACUGACACUGAGGGACGAAAGCUAGGGGAGCGAAUGGGAUUAGAUACCC
rnacentral:rRNA from 1 species